rnacentral:misc_RNA from 1 species
GAGAAGAACGUAGCGAACUGCGAUAAGUAAUGUGAAUUGCAGAAUUCAGUGAAUCAUCGAGUCUUUGAACGCACAUUGCGCCCCCUGGCAUUCCGGGGGGCAUGCCUGUCCGAGCGUCAUUGCUGCCCAUCAAGCCCGGCUUGUGUGUCGGGUCGUCGUCCCCCCCGGGGGACGGGCCCGAAAGGCAGCGGCGGCACCGUGUCCGGUCCUCGAGCGUAUGGGGCUUUGUCACCCGCUCGAUUAGGGCCGGCCGGGCGCCAGCCGACGUCUCCAACCAUUUUCUUCAGGUUGACCUCGGAUCAGGUAGGGAUACCCGCUGAACUUAAGCAUAUCAAUAAGCGGAGGA